GACGAACGCUGGCGGCGUGCCCAAUACAUGCAAGUCGAACGAACCGCGACUGAGUGCUUGCACUUGGUCAAGGUGAGUGGCGAACGAGUGAGUAACACGUGGGUAACCUACCUCAUAGUGGGGGAUAACAGUCGGAAACGACUGCUAAUACCGCAUAGGACAUGGAAUCACAUGAUUCUGUGAGGAAAGGUGGCGCAAGCUAUCGCUAAGAGAUGGACCCGCGGUGCAUUAGCUAGUUGGUAGGGUAAGGGCCUACCAAGGCGAUGAUGCAUAGCCGACCUGAGAGGGUGAUCGGCCACAUUGGGACUGAGACACGGCCCAAACUCCUACGGGAGGCAGCAGUAGGGAAUCUUCCGCAAUGGACGCAAGUCUGACGGAGCAACGCCGCGUGAGUGAAGAAGGUCUUCGGAUCGUAAAGCUCUGUUGUUAGAGAAGAACAGCGCAUAGAGUAACUGUUAUGCGUGUGACGGUAUCUAACCAGAAAGCCACGGCUAACUACGUG
rnacentral:rRNA from 1 species